AUUGAACGCUGGCGGCAUGCCUUACACAUGCAAGUCGAACGGCAGCACGGGAGCAAUCCUGGUGGCGAGUGGCGAACGGGUGAGUAAAGUAUCGGAACGUGCCCAGUCGUGGGGGAUAACGUAGCGAAAGUUACGCUAAUACCGCAUACGAUCUAUGGAUGAAAGCGGGGGAUCGCAAGACCUCGCGCGAUUGGAGCGGCCGAUAUCAGGUUAGGUAGUUGGUAGGGUAAAGGCUCACCAAGCCGCCGAUCUGUAGCUGGUCCGAGAGGACGACCAGCCACACUGGGACUGAGACACGGCCCAGACUCCUACGGGAGGCAGCAGUGGGGAAUUUUGGACAAUGGGCGAAAGCCUGAUCCAGCCAUGCCGCGUGCAGGAUGAAGGCCUUCGGGUUGUAAACUGCUUUUGUACGGAACGAAAAGGUUUGGGCUAAUAAGCUGAGCUCAUGACGGUACCGUAAGAAUAAGCACCGGCUAACUACGUGCCAGCAGCCGCGGUAA
rnacentral:rRNA from 1 species